rnacentral:rRNA from 1 species
GCCUACGGCCAUAGCAUCCUGAGAACGCCCGAUCCCGUUUGAACUCGGAAGCUAAGCAGCGUCGGGCCCGGUUAGUACUUGGAUGGGAGACCGCCUGGGAAUACCGAGUGCUGUAGGCC